UAAACGGCGGCCGUAACUAUAACGGUCCUAAGGUAGCGAAAUUCCUUGUCGGGUAAGUUCCGACCUGCACGAAUGGCGUAACGAUCUCCACACUGUCUCGGCCAGAGACUCGGUGAAAUUGCAGUCGCGGUGAAAAUUCCGUGUACCCGCAGAAAGACGGAAAGACCCUGUGCACCUUUACUAUAGCUUGACAUUGGAUUUUGGGCCUGCAUGUGUAGGAUAGGUGGGAGGCUGUGAACCCUGUACGCCAGUAUGGGGGGAGCCAUCCUUGAAAUACCACCCUUGCAUGUUUAAGAUCCUAACUUCUUCCGGUUAUCCCGGAGAAAGACAGUGUCUGGCGGGUAGUUUGACUGGGGCGGUCGCCUCCUAAAGUGUAACGGAGGCAUGCAAAGGUUCCCUCAGCCUGAUCGGAAACCAGGCGCUGAGUGCAAACGCAUAAGGGAGCUUGACUGUAAGAGAGACAUCUCGAACAGGAACGAAAGUUGGCGUUAGUGAUCCGGUGGUCCCGAAUGGAAGGGCCAUCGCUCAUUGGAUAAAAGGUACGCCGGGGAUAACAGGCUGAUCGCAUCCAAGAGUUCACAUCGACGAUGCGGUUUGGCACCUCGAUGUCGGCUCAUCACAUCCUGGGGCUGAAGCAGGUCCCAAGGGUACGGCUGUUCGCCGUUUAAAGUGGUACGCGAGCUGGGUUUAAAACGUCGUGAGACAGUUUGGUCCCUAUCUUCUGUGGGCGAAGGAGAAUUGAGAGGGCCUGUCCCUAGUACGAGAGGACCGGGAUGGACGCACCCCUGGUGAUCCUGUUGUCGCGCCAGCGGCAUAGCAGGGUAGCUAUGUGCGGAAGGGAUAACCGCUGAAAGCAUCUAAGCGGGAAGCCUGCCUCAAGAUAAGUUCUCCCCUCGAAAGAGCUGAAGGGCCCGGGUAGACUACCCGGUCGAUAGGCUGGAGGUGUAAGCGCGGCGACGUGCUCAGCUGACCAGUACUAAUAGCCCGAGCGGCUUAUUUUU
rnacentral:rRNA from 1 species